rnacentral:lncRNA from 1 species
AUGACAAUGACUGCCAUCACUCAUCAAAGGCCCACUAUGAGGUGUGCACCAGGUCAGGGCAAAACACACACCAUCUCUAUGAUUCUUACUCCCACUCCUGGGGAGACCAUCUCAGAGAAGUUAGCGAAUUGGUUCAUGGGAAGAGGCAAGCCCAGGAGUACCAGCUCCAGAGCCUGGGUUUUAACCACUGCACCACCCUCCCUCAUGGAAAGAGGGGACCCUUGUGUAGGACAAAGUCACAGUGCCCAGAGGCUCUAUGGAGAAGAGCUAAGGAAGGCAUCUCAGGUGGACCGAGCCCAGGAAGAGGAGGCAAGCAGUAGGACAGCAAGGGCAAGACUAACCUCCACUCCAUGGACUCGCCUGGAAUCACUGGGAGAUGUGAUGGGGGAGGAAUCAUCUGGAAUCAACACUCAGUCCCAGAGGUUCAGGGUGGAUAACCAGGAAUGGGUGAAGAACAAGCUGGAUGGAAGCAAGGCCACGCCCAUGGGAAGAAGGGCAGGACCAUAUCUGGGGACAGGGAAAGGUCACUUGACAUUUGUCCCAGAAGCUCAUUCUGCCCCCGCACCUUCUUCUGUCUGUGCCUGGCCGUUGGUGCUUCUGCUUAAAGAAGAGAAUGAACAAUAGAUGGAAUGUUUGUUUUCCCCCCACCCCAAGUUUCAUGUGUCGGAAUUCCCAGGGGGAUGGUAUCAGGAAUGGGGUCCUUGGGAGGUGAUGAGGUCAUGAGGGCUCCAUCCUUAUGAAUGGGAUUCAUUUCCUUAUAAAAGAGACCCCAGAGAGUUAGCUAGCCCCUUUCACCAUCUGAAGACACAGAAAGCAGAACCAGAAAGGGGCCCUUGUCAGACAUCGAAUCUGUCAGCACCUUGACCUUGCACUUUCUAGCCUCCAGAUUGUGAAAAAUACAAUUUUGUUGUUUAGACAUCACCUCAUCUAUGGUGUCCUGUGACACCAGCCUGAAGGAACUCAGACAGCAUUAUACCAGGAGCCUGUUCUCGUCAGGCCUGUGGCCUUGGCCAAGUUACCACAUCAAUCUUGAUCUUAGCCCCUAUACUGACAGCGUGAAACCAAAAACCCUCUAAAACACACCUAAAUGCUGAGAUUCUAGGAGGUAAUUUAUACUUGCAUGUAACUUAUUUUGGUUCCUUUCCCUGAUGUAUCUUCUUGUUAAGGGGUUGGGGGCCAGUAAAUUAUUCUCAUGGAGAUAAUUCACUCUGUGGCAGCUCAUGGGCAGGGAAGGUGACAAGGACCACAGUCCUCCCUCAGUGACGUGGUCCGCUGGCCUGGGGAGGGUAGCUGUCUCCAGUCGAUCCCAAUCACACCUCCCUUUCCACAGUCCCCUGACAAGGUCUGUGACUCUCCCAUGAAAGCCAAAUCCUGCAAGAAAGCCAACUUCUCCCUGACACUGCAGCCCGGGCACAGAGGAAAGGACACAUCUGAAACAUGGCUCAAUUUUCCAGUUGCCAUUGGGAUUCAGGCCGUAGAGAAAAGACAUGCUUUAUUAUGCAGGCCCUGGGCCCGAGCGCCUGGACCUGGGGUGGAGGUGGGUCUGUGGUCUGUUCAUCCUUCCAUUCCCUCAGGGCUGCCGGCAACCAGGGCCCCCAAACUGAGGGAGGGCGGAGCCCCCACUCCCGGGAGCCCCUAUUCCCAACCCCAGACUGACCUCUCCCGGCCAGACCCCGCAAAGCAGUUUGGAAGGAGAAAGGGUGAGCCUGGCAUCAUUCUGUGCUCAUUGUUUUUCUAUCGCCUUCCUUUGAAAGAGAGGGAAGAAAGGGGACAAAGAGAAAAUCAGAAGGAGUUCAUUGGUCCUCCCACCCUCCAGCCUCCUGCCUCUCCCCCAGACUUCAGCUGCCGGCCUAAAAUCACAAAGCCUUUUCGCUCAAAACCCAGAGAGAGAGGGGAAAAAAAGGAGGAAAGCAAAGGGAAGGGAAGGAGCAGCAGUGAAUUUCAAAAGGAGGGCUAAUUUGUGCAGGGCCGGACAGCUGCAUUUGCAUAAUGAAAUGUGCAGAGGAUGUUUGGCUCAUGUAUUUUUUAGAAGGUUUAACUUUAAUUUUAUUUAGCCUAAGAAGGGCAUGUCACUCAAACUCUGCUGGUCAUUUAUAAAAAUAUUUCAAUUGUGUUUCCAAGGAGCUGUCUUUCUGGCCUAAGUGGCUGGUGCCGGAGGUUGUGAAUGCUAAUGCAGAGGUGGGGAGAUUGAUGAUGGGGAGGGAGAGAAUGAGAGAGGAAAAUGGGAGGGGCAGAGACACCAAAAAAGAGAUACCAACACAGAAGAAAGGACAAGGUGAGAGACAGACAAAUGUGAAAGAGACAGGAUUGUGGAGUGGGACAAAGAUCCCUGGCCUCCAAAAGAGGCAGGCCAGUUAAACGUCCACCUCAGGAGAAGGGAUGGAUGUUCCUAGUGGACCACACCUACCUCACAGAAGUGGACCCCGUUCUCGCAGCCCAUGGAGUUUGGACCUUCC